UACGGGGGGGGCAAGCGUUGUUCGGAAUUACUGGGCGUAAAGGGCUCGUAGGCGGCCAACUAAGUCAGACGUGAAAUCCCUCGGCUUAACCGGGGAACUGCAUCUGAUACUGGGUGGCUCGAGUUUGGGAGAGGGAUGCGGAAUUCCAGGUGUAGCGGUGAAAUGCGUAGAUAUCUGGAGGAACACCGGUGGCGAAGGCGGCAUCCUGGACCAACACUGACGCUGAUGAGCGAAAGCCAGGGGAGCAAACGGG
rnacentral:rRNA from 1 species